rnacentral:rRNA from 1 species
GAUGAACGCUGGCGGCGUGCCUAAUACAUGCAAGUCGAGCGCACAGGCUAGAAGCUUGCUUCUCUUAUGUUAGCGGCGGACGGGUGAGUAACACGUGGAUAACCUACCUAUAAGACUGGGAUAACUUCUGGAAACCGUAGCUAAUACCGGAUAAUAUCUUUAACCACAUGGUUCAAAAGUGAAAGACGGUCUUGCUUUACCUUAUAGAUGGAUCGGCGCUGCAUUAGCUAGUUGGGAAGUUAACGGUUACCAAAGGCAACGAUGCAUAGCCGACCUGAGGGGGUGAUCGGCAACAUGGGAACUGAGACACGGCCCAACCUCCUACGGGAGGCAGAAGUGGGGAAUCUUGGGCAAGGGGCGAAAUCCUGACGGAGCAAGGCGGGGGGGGUGAGGAAGGUCUCCGGAUGUAAAAACCUUGUUAUUAGGGAAGACCAUAUGUGUAAGUAACUGCGCACAACUUGACGGUAACUAAUCAGAAAGCCACGGCUAACUACGUG